ensembl:rRNA 5S_rRNA 5S ribosomal RNA
CAUACCACCCUGAGAACGCCCGAUCUCGUCUGAUCUCGGAAGCUAAGCAGGGUCGGGCCUGGUUAGUACUUGGAUGAGAGACCGCCUGGGAAUACCAGGUGCUGUAAGCU